GGGACAGUGUGUUCAAUACUAAUCAUUCAAGUUUUCGCCCUUUUUAUGCUGUGGAUUCUGGUUAUCUCAUAAUUCCUUUGUUGUUAAGGAAAGUGUUUUUGUUUGUUAAACGCAGCAGCACAGCGGACGAGAGCCGUGGGCCAUGCAAAUCGCUGCUACAGCUACAGGAACAAGCUACUCUUAUAAAGCAUUAAACUUUGGAAAACAAAGCCUCUAAAACAAAGCAGGAGGAGACUAGUCGUUGGUCCAAAAACACAAAAUACCCAUCUCCUGAUUUUGAGCUCUCACUUUGUUUUUCUUUUCUCCGUUAUCGAGGUUAGUCCUAAAGUUCCAACUUUUCCUUUACUUAAAAAUACAUUUUAAAAAUAAGAUAACGAAAUCUUGAAUAUUGAGACUGUGUUUGCUUUGUAUAUUUUCUGAUUUUUGAAGUUAAAGUAGUAAUAUUUUUUUCC